rnacentral:rRNA from 1 species
GAUGAACGCUGGCGGCGUGCUUAACACAUGCAAGUCGAACGGUGAAGGCGGAGCUUGCUCUGCUGGAUCAGUGGCGAACGGGUGAGUAACACGUGAGCAAUCUGCCCCUGACUCUGGGAUAAGCGCUGGAAACGGCGUCUAAUACUGGAUACGAGCUGCGAAGGCAUCUUCAGCAGCUGGAAAGAAUUUCGGUCAGGGAUGAGCUCGCGGCCUAUCAGCUUGUUGGUGAGGUAAUGGCUCACCAAGGCGUCGACGGGUAGCCGGCCUGAGAGGGUGACCGGCCACACUGGGACUGAGACGCGGCCCAGACUCCUACGGGAGGCAGCAGUGGGGAAUAUUGCACAAUGGGCGAAAGCCUGAUGCAGCAACGCCGCGUGAGGGACGACGGCCCUCGGGUUGUAAACCUCUUUUAGCAGGGAAGAAGCGAAAGUGACGGUACCUGCAGAAAAAGCGCCGGCUAACUACGUG